rnacentral:rRNA from 1 species
UACAGAGGGGGCAAGCGUUGUUCGGAAUUACUGGGCGUAAAGGGCGCGUAGGCGGCCUGUAAAGUCGAACGUGAAAUCCCCGGGCUCAACCCGGGAACUGCGUCCGAUACUGGCAGGCUUGAAUUCGGGAGAGGGAUGCGGAAUUCCAGGUGUAGCGGUGAAAUGCGUAGAUAUCUGGAGGAACACCGGUGGCGAAGGCGGCAUCCUGGACCGACAUUGACGCUGAGGCGCGAAAGCCAGGGGAGCAAACGGG